AAUGGCUUGUUUCUGCCGUCCCAAAUGACAGCAUGUUGGUGCCCGUCUCUCAUCUGCGACAGUGCCUAGGUUUUAUUUUACAGAAACUGAGACAGUGGCAUCUCGCCUAAUCUUUUUUAUCUGUUAUUUGAGAGAAUCUCACAUUAGCAACUUGCAUUUUGCAACAUUCUGAAAGAUGGGUAUCUUGAAAUUACCUAGGUAACUACCCGCAAGCACAAUUCUGACAUCGUUGGGCCUGAAUUCUGGAUGCAGAGGCUGGGGGCUGGUCAGCGAGGAACAAUGGUCAUUUGUGAAGGAGGGGACACUUGAGAGCUCGGUGUCUCUAUAACAGGAGGCAAAACCAUGUUCACCAAUAAGGUUUCAACCCUUUAUUUAGUGAAAUGAAGUGUUAGGGAACACAGAGGGGGUUUUUAAGAGCUUACACGUCCAUCAGAACCAGAGCCACGGUGUGGGAAGAGAACCGCAAGACGUUUCCUCAAAUACCUGUGGCUUUGUGACCCUAUCACCGAGGCAUACGGAAGGCACUGAGUAUUUUUCCGAAUGCGUGAAUGACACUUACGUAGUAGCCGAGUGCUUGGACAUCUGCCUUCAUCUGAAGCCAGGACUGCCUGAGAAUAAAUUGAGAUAA
rnacentral:lncRNA from 1 species